rnacentral:rRNA from 1 species
UAGUCCACGCCGUAAACGAUGAGAACUAGAUGUCGGGAGGGAUUAGCCUCUCGGUGUCGCAGCUAACGCGUUAAGUUCUCCGCCUGGGGAGUACGGUGGCAACACUAAAACUCAAAGGAAUUGACGGGGACCCGCACAAGCGGUGGAGCAUGUGGUUUAAUUCGAUGCAACGCGAAGAACCUUACCUGCCCUUGACAUUGACAGAACCCUCUAGAGAUAGAGGGGUGCUUCGGCCUGGAAAACAGGUGCAGCAUGGCUGUCGUCAGCUCGUGUCGUGAGAUGUUGGGUUAAGUCCCGCAACGAGCGCAACCCUUAUCCCUAGUUGCCAGCACAUAAUGUUGGGCACUCUAGCGAGACUGCCGGUGAUAAGCCGGAGGAAGGCGGGGAUGACGUCAAGUCCUCAUGGCCCUUAUGGGCUGGGCUACACACGUGCUACAAUGGCAGUGACAGAGGGACGCUACCUCGCGAGAGGAUGCAAAUCUCAAAAAGCUGUCU